CUGUGAGAAACACCCAAGAAUUAUCAAUAAAAAAUAAAUAAAUAAAUUUAAAAAAAAAAAAAAAACCAAAUUACUGAUACAUGCUACAACACUGAUGAAUUUCAAAAACAUUAUGUUAAGUGAAAGAAUCCAGAUGUAAAAGACUAUAUAUUAUUUCAUUUACAGGAACUGUCCAGAAAAUGCAAAUCUAUAGAGACAGAAAGUAGGUUAGGGAAUGCCUGGGGUUGGGGGUAGGAGGCCUGACUGCAAAUGGGCACGAGGAAGAGACUGGAAAUCUCUCUUUUGGGGAGAUGGAAAUGUUCUAAAACUGAUUCAUGCUGAUAGUUGCACAACUCUGUAAAUUAACAAUCAUUAAAUUGUACUGUUAAGAUCAGUGAAUUUUAUGAUAUAUAAAUUAUACCUCAAUAAAGAUGUUAACAAUAAAUUAAAAAAUACAUGUAAGAAUUGGAGACAAUAUUUUUUAUGCUUGAGGGUCUCUAAAGGCCUUGCUCAGGAUCUGCU
rnacentral:lncRNA from 1 species